CAGCCGCCGCGGUAAUACCGGCGGCCCGAGUGGCGGUCACUAUUAUUGGGCUUAAAGCGUCCGUAGCCGGGUUGGGAAGUCCUCCGGGAAAUCUGGCCGCUUAAAGGUCAGAAUGCCGGAGGAUACUCCCAGCCUAGGGAGCGGGGGGGGCCGAGGGGAUUCCCGGGGUAGGGGGGAAAUCCUAUAAUCCCGGGAGGACCACCUGUGGCGAAGGCGCUCGGCUGGAACGCGUCCGACGGUGAGGGACGAAGGCCAGGGGAGCAAACCGGAUUAGAUACCCGGGUAGUCCUGGCUGUAAACGAUGCGGACUUUGUGUCGGACAAGCUAUGAGCUUGUCCGGUGCCGGAGGGAAACCGUUAAGUCCGCCGCCUGGGGAGUACGGCCGCAAGGCUGAAACUUAAAGGAAUUGGCGGG
rnacentral:rRNA from 1 species